GGGAGGUAGUGACAAUAAAUAACAAUACGGGGUUCUUUAGGAUCUCGUAAUUGGAAUGAGUACAAUUUAAAUCUCUUAACGAGGAACAAUUGGAGGGCAAGUCUGGUGCCAGCAGCCGCGGUAAUUCCAGCUCCAAUAGCGUAUAUUAAAGUUGUUGCAGUUAAAAAGCUCGUAGUUGAACCUUAGGCCCGUGCGGGCGGUCCGUCCUCUGGGCGAGCACUGCUUCGUCGCGGGUCUCACCUUCUGGCGAGCGUGGAUGCCAUUUAUUUGGUGUCCGCGGGAACCAGGACCUUUACCUUGAAAAAAUUAGAGUGCUCAAAGCGGGCUCCGACGCUUGAAUACAUUAGCAUGGAAUAAUGAAAUAGGACGAUGGUUCUAUUUUGUUGGUUUCCGGGACGGUCGUAAUGAUUAAUAGGGAUAGUUGGG
rnacentral:rRNA from 1 species